AUGCACGCCGUCGUCCUCCGGUGCGAAGCCCUCGAGGAGCCCGACGUCCAGGCCACCAGCUGGAUCGCCCAGGUCCGCGACCUCGCCUACGACAUCGAGGAAUGGGUCGACCUCUUCGCCCACCGCGCCGACGCGGGCACCAACAACGCCGACGCCGGCACCUCCCACCGGUUCUCCCGCUGGAUCCGCCGGCUCACCACCAUCCCCGACCGCCACAUCUUCGCCAUCGAGCUGAAGGUGCUCCGAGCGUGCGUCGUCGAGGUGAGCAAGCUGCGGAAGCGCUACAGUCUCGACCCGCAGAUGUUGUCUCAUCACGCGCCCGCCGUCGACCCCCGGCUCUUCGCGCUCUACGCUGACAGUGCCGGCCUGUGGCAUGGACGGGCCGCGGGACGAGGUGGCAGGGAUGGCUGUCAAGGUCCAUUGUGCCUUGAUGGUCUCUACAAAUUGCUGCUUUUGAGGUACUUGAACCUCAAGGGAACAUAUGUUAGCGAGCUCCCAGAACAGAUUGGACAGCUAAGAUGCCUGGAGACACUGGACGUGAGAUCCACAAAGGUGAAAGAUCUACCUCCUAGAAUUGUCAAGCUGGAAAAGUCAAUGCAUUUACUCGCCGGGAAUGCCAAGUUGCCGAGUGGGAUAACCAAGAUGAAUUCAUUGUUGAUACUUUUGUGCAGCAAUAUUGGGAAGAGCGCUGAGGCGAACAUCAUUCAAGAGCUCAGUGAAAUGGUUGAAGUGCUUGAGCUAAAGUUUGAAGAAGGCCUUUCAGAGGAGUCGAGUGGCGUGUCAUCUGUCUGGCCUGAAGCAUAUGAUCGUCGAGUUUUCACAGCAUUAUGUGGAAACUUUAUGUUGCCUUCAGUUUCAGUCCAAACUAAACUUGCAGACUGA
rnacentral:rRNA from 1 species